UAUUGGUCAAUGGGCGGGAGCCUGAACCAGCCAAGUCGCGUGAGGGAAGACGGUCCUACGGUUUGUAAACCUCUUUUGCCGGGGAGCAACGGGGUCCUUGCGAGGGCCCAAUGAGAGUACCCGGAGAAAAAGCCUCGGCCCCCUCCGUGUCAGACGCCGCGGUAAUACGGAGGAUGCGAGCGUUAUCCGGAUUUAUUGGGUUUAAAGGGUGCGUAGGCGGGCUGUUAAGUCAGCGGUCAAAUGUCGGGGCUCAACCCCGGCCUGCCGUUGAAACUGGCGGCCUCGAGUGGGCGAGAAGUAUGCGGAAUGCGUGGUGUAGCGGUGAAAUGCAUAGAUAUCACGCAGAACUCCGAUUGCGAAGGCAGCAUACCGGCGCCCUACUGACGCUGAGGCACGAAAGCGUGGGUAUCGAACAGG
rnacentral:rRNA from 1 species